rnacentral:rRNA from 1 species
CCUACGGGGAGCAGCAGUGAGGAAUAUUGGUCAAUGGACGAGAGUCUGAACCAGCCAAGCAGCGUGAAGGAUGACUGCCCUAUGGGUUGUAAACUUCUUUUAUAUGGGAAUAAAAUGUUCCACGUGUGGGAUUAUGUAUGUACCAUAUGAAUAAGGAUCGGCUAACUCCGUGCCAGCAGCCGCGGUAAUACGGAGGAUCCGAGCGUUAUCCGGAUUUAUUGGGUUUAAAGGGAGCGUAGGUGGCUUGUUAAGUCAGUUGUGAAAGUUUGGGGCUCAACCGUGAAAUUGCAGUUGAAACUGGCAGUCUUGAGUACAGGAGAGGUAGGCGGAAUGCGUGGUGUAGCGGUGAAAUGCUUAGAUAUCACGAAGAACUCCGAUUGCGAAGGCAGCUCGCUGGACUGCAACUGACACUGAGGCACGAAAGUGUGGGUAUCAAACAGGAUUAGAUACCCUGGUAGUC